rnacentral:lncRNA from 1 species
UCAACAGCAUGUGUGCAUGUGUGUGUUUGUGCAUAUAUAAAUACACACUUUAUAUGCAAUGAAAAUUUUCAGCUGUUAACAGUUCGUGAUGAGUGAGAAGCAUGUAGGAGGAGCAGAGGUUGUUACUGGAGAAUUCCUAAGCAUCUCUUUAAUAACCCAUUUCCUUUUUCCCAACUUUUUCUUUCCUCCCCCCCAAAAAUAA